UACACCGAAUAACACUACAAAAUAAAUACUAGUCUCCUCUAAAUUAUUAAAUUAUUAUUUGUAUUUCCUUAGUCAGUGAUUGUAUGUAAUUCAUUUUUGGCCAUGAAGAAACAUGAAGAGUUGGGUGGGCUGGGCUCUCCCGAUCCGAGAUCCUCUUGGCCUGUUGGCCGUGGUAGCCAAAGGCUACCUACAAAGGAAAAGCCCAAACCCAUGCAAAAGCCCACUCCCAAGCGUGCACAACGGAAGGUCAAGGCGAGGACGAUAAUUAAGAUUUCUGCCUACCAACCGUUCAACUGUUCAACCGUUCAAAAUUAUCUGUUACACAACACUAGACGCACACUUCCACACAUUUUACCUUUCUUUCUUACCAAGCCUUGAUGGUACCUCCCCACAUCCUCCACUUCCAUGAUGUGAGGAUGUGGGUGAUGUGGAUGGCAUCACAAACACAUUGUUGAAGCUUUUUCCGCAUAAAAGAUAUACCUAUCCAUCCUUUCAAUCUAUUUUCAACGCAUAAUGAGGACACUCUACUACACAUUUGAUCUAUUUUCAACGCAUAAUGAGGGCCGUAACUACUCUUCGGACACUCUACUACACAUUUGAUCUAUUUUCAACGCAUAAUGAGGGCUAUAACUACUCUUUGGACACUCUACUACACACGUGGAAACAUGAAUUUCAACGCCAAUGAGUAUUGGAAAAUAUUUGAUGGAUCCGCAGAGGGGAUCGCAGAAACUAGCAAUUCGCAGUGCUGGAUACGGUCCUAGGGACUUAUGAUCGCAGUUCUGUUAUGUUAUUGAAUUAUCGUUAUAAAACUAAAUAUAUAACUUGCAAGUAA